rnacentral:lncRNA from 1 species
AGCAGCCUACAGAGCACCCAGGAAUACUUUAUUUUUAGUGUUUUUUUUUUUUUUCUUUUUUUCUUUCUUUUUCUUUUUCUUUCACCGCCCAGCCCAGGGCCUGGUAGAGAUCGACAGUCUUUAAUCCUUCAGUGUUUUUUGUCCAUUAUCUGGGUCUUUUGGGCUUUAUCUAUUUUGGCUUCGAUUAGGAAACCCACGAAUCAGGUAGAAACCCCCGGAUGGCUGCCAUAGUUCCAGUUUUAACCCAGUGUCCUGCGGACCAUCUGCUCUGGGCUCGGGAGGGAGGUACCAUGUCAGGAGCAAAUGUCCCCAGACUGAUGGUGACUGUCAGGAACUGUUGUUUUGAAAACGCUGGGGUUUUCUUGCCAGGACAGAGUGGGGCAAGGUGUUCUGUGCCCCUCCCCCCUCCGCUCUACUACUCCCCGAUAUCCCCAUCCUCCCCAGGUUGAGCGGUUCCCGCUUCCAACCACUCCAGGACUUUUAUGUAAAUUACAGCCAAGUUUGGACACCAGCUCUCCCAGUGACCCCCUCCCCCCAAAUCCCGAAGCCACCAAAAGCCACUUGAGUUACAGAAGGCUCCGUGGUGUGUCGUGGGACAGGGAACAGGCGUCAGAGCCCGGGUCUGAGGGGCCCAUACACUGCCAAUCACCCGCCCCUCGGCUUGGGGACACCCCCCCCACACCUGACUCGGAGGCUUUCCAGGUCAGCCAGUAUCCCCCUUAGCCAGGAUUCCCCACCCCCAACUUCCUAUUCCCCGUAGCUGCGCAUAGACGUGCGCGCACCAUAGACAAUAUAUUUUUGGAGAAUGAACCACAGCGGCCAAACUCCGUCCAAGGAGGUGGCACUGAGCCGGCCAAUCAUCGGGGACCAAGGACAGACCAGCUGAGGCCGGCUGGAUGCCAAACCAGGACCCCCGUCAACACCAUAUACCUCCAGUUUUUGGGGUCUCCACGGCUGCCGCCCCCACCCUGCCCCUCCCGCUUUCAUAGCCUUACUUGGGUGACCAGGUGUCCUCAGCUUCCUGCCAGGGAAGCCUCCUGUCCCCCACUGCCCAACCAGAUCGCACCCCCACCCCAGCCCCUCCUCCAAUCACCAGCCGUAAACUGAAAGUCUUGUACCCGAGCUCACCGUGAGUCAGACGUGGCCACACCGGACCCGGUUGCUGACCCCACGGAUUCCUCUCUCCUCUCUUCUCUCUCUCUCUUCUCCUUCUCCUCUCCCUUCCCCUCUCUCCUCUCUCAUCUAUCUAUCUAUCUAUCUAUCUAUCUAUCUAUCUAUCUAUCUAUCUAUCUAUCUAUCUAUGUUGGUGGUCUUUUUCUAAGUGAGUGCCAACAAGACCACAGAGAAGAGCACGCAGGGGUGCAGGGACUCACUGAUAAUCCGCUUUUGAUUCCUAGUUGGAGGUUUGGGAAGACUUUGGUGGGGGAGCCACUCCUUGUAUAUUUUACCCAGCCUGCCCACACACCCACCACAAAGCACAGAGAGUCGUUAAUUUGAACAUCCCACCAAGAGGGGGUGAGGGGGUGGGGGUGGGGUCUGAAUCCCUUGCGACAAGUCCAAAAGCAAACAAAAGAGACAACUUUUUUAAGGUUU